CCCUUAGACGUUCUGGGCCGCACGCGCGCUACACUGACGAAGGCAACGAGCUUUCCUUUACCGAAAGGUACGGGUAAUCUUUUGAAACUUCGUCGUGCUGGGGAUAGAUCCUUGCAAUUUUUGAUCUUAAACGAGGAAUGCCUAGUAAGCGCAAGUCAUCAACUUACGUUGAUUACGUCCCUGCCCUUUGUACACACCGCCCGUCGCUACUACCGAUUGAAUGGUUUAGUGAGGCCUUCGGAUCCGCGACUCGUUUGUGGAGAAGUUGGACAAACUCAGUCAUUUAGAGGAAGUAAAAGUCGUAACA
rnacentral:rRNA from 1 species